rnacentral:rRNA from 1 species
GUGGCAGACGGGUGAGUAAUGUAUAGGAAUCUACCUAGUAGUACGGAAUAAUUGUUGGAAACGGCAACUAAUACCGUAUACGCCCUACGGGGGAAAAAUUUAUUGCUAUUAGAUGAGCCUAUAUUAGAUUAGCUAGUUGGUGGAGUAAUAGCCUACCAAGGCAAUGAUCUAUAGCUGAUCUGAGAGGAUGAUCAGCCACACUGGAACUGAGAUACGGUCCAGACUCCUACGGGAGGCAGCAGUGGGGAAUAUUGGACAAUGGGCGAAAGCCUGAUCCAGCCAUGCCGCAUGAGUGAAGAAGGCCUUUGGGUUGUAAAGCUCUUUUAGUGAGGAAGAUAAUGACGGUACUCACAGAAGAAGUCCUGGCUAACUCCGUGCCAGCAGCCGCGGUAAUACGGAGAGGGCUAGCGUUAUUCGGAAUUAUUGGGCGUAAAGGGCGCGUAGGCUGGUCAGUAAGUUAAAAGUGAAAUCCCGAGGCUUAACCUUGGAACUGCUUUUAAAACUGCUAACCUAGAGAUUGAAAGAGGAUAGAGGAAUUCCUAGUGUAGAGGUGAAAUUCGUAAAUAUUAGGAGGAACACCAGUGGCGAAGGCGUCUAUCUGGUUCAAAUCUGACGCUGAGGCGCGAAGGCGUGGGGAGCAAACAGGAUUAGAUACCCUGGUAGUCCACGCUGUAAACGAUGAAUGUUAAAUAUGGGGAGUUUACUUUCUGUAUUACAGCUAACGCGUUAAACAUUCCGCCUGGGGACUACGGUCGCAAGAUUAAAACUCAAAGGAAUUGACGGGGACCCGCACAAGCGGUGGAGCAUGUGGUUUAAUUCGAUGCAACGCGAAAAACCUUACCACUCCUUGACAUGAAAAUC